rnacentral:rRNA from 1 species
GGAGGAAGCAGGGGAUCGCAAGACCUUGCGCUUUUGGAGCGGCCGAUGCCUGAUUAGCUUGUUGGUGAGGUAAAAGCUCACCAAGGCUUCGAUCAGUAGCUGGUCUGAGAGGACGACCAGCCACACUGGGACUGAGACACGGCCCAGACUCCUACGGGAGGCAGCAGUGGGGAAUUUUGGACAAUGGGGGCAACCCUGAUCCAUCCAUGCCGCGUGAGUGAAGAAGGCCUUCGGGUUGUAAAGCUCUUUCAGCCGGAACGAAACGGUUACGGUUAAUACCCGUGACUACUGACGGUACCGGAAGAAGAAGCACCGGCUAACUACGUGCCAGCAGCCGCGGUAAUACGUAGGGUGCGAGCGUUAAUCGGAAUUACUGGGCGUAAAGCGUGCGCAGGUGGUUUUGUAAGUCAGAUGUGAAAUCCCCGGGCUUAACCUGGGAACUGCGUUUGAAACUACAAGGCUAG